rnacentral:rRNA from 1 species
AUGUGGAUGCUCGACGACCUCGUCGAUUCCGGCGGAGCGGCCAUGGGGAGGAGCGGGGAAAACAUGAAAGCUGCACUGCUCAACCUCUUCAUGGUCGACGGCCAGAUGGCCAUGGCUGAGGUGUUGUAUCUUGGCCCCAUGGAGGAGCCUGUGAGGGAAAUCACUGAAUCACAGACUGAUGGUGAUUGUUGGUUCUGGAACCUGAGGUACGGGACAGAGGCUGGCCUUGCUGCUAUUGUCCUCCAUGACAUGCUGGCCUCCUCAUUGUUGGUGCUAUUAGACUACUACCAAAUGCAAGUGCCAAUUGAUGAUGUGCAUCCUUUAAUGGCGGCGCCGGGCAAAGCUAGCGAUAGUAGCAUGGACUGUUUCACCCUGCCAAAACAAUCAGAUAUGACCUGCUCAUCCAUUAGGAUCAUAUCUAGGCUAAUAAGCUCAUUGGUCGUAGGAUUGACUGAAUCCCACACUCAUUGUGUUCACUUGAAUGUCCUAAUUAUGUCCGCUUGCCAGAAGUGCUUUGGCGUGACUUCUUCCAACGUUGAUUGGAGCAAUUGGGCGUGGCUUCAUCAGGCGUCAAGCAUGCUUUGGCGUAAAUUUGUCGGACGUCAAGUGAAGCAGCUGGGCAUGGAUUUUUCUGGUAGCUCCGAUGACUUCAAUCUGUUCAAGUCAUGGUGA